rnacentral:lncRNA from 1 species
GUACCCGGAUGUGUCACGUCACAUUAGUGCGCGCUACGUCAUACAAUCCCAUGGUCCAACAUUUCUCUGAACGCUGCAGAUUUGGUAAGGAUUUUGUAGUGUUUAAUUUUAUAAUCCGCUGGAAGUACGAUUAUGUUCGAGAGACGAUAACGUGAUUAUAUGAGGGUUGGUGCAGUAGGAAGUAUAGCAACUGUGAUGUGUUCCCUAUCUAGUGCAAAGGAAUUACGACCCGACCCUGCAUCCUUUUGAGGGGCCCAGAGAAUACACCAGGGCCCACUAAACUGGAGAGAGUGUUUGCCAAACCCUUUGUAGCUUCACUAGAUGGACACAGAGCACAUCAGCUGCAUCACCAAACACAACAAAAGCAUGUCAACAAUCAUCUGUGGUGCCUGCGAUGGGGAGGUAGAGGAUGACAAGAGCAUCAAACAGUGGAACAUAGAGGCCCCGGUGCAUGGAGUUCGGGAGGAACCAAUUAACAUGAUUCUGGGAAAGGUACAGUUUUAUCUUACAGAUAUUAUAUCAAAGAUUAUAUAUAUUAUUAUAAAAUGCAGAAAUUGCUGCAUUUAUUUGACAUAAAAUAAAUUAAUUUUGUAAUACAAUAAUAUUAUGGAAUAUUAUUAUAAUUUAAAAUAACAGUCUUCAUUGUCAC